rnacentral:rRNA from 1 species
GAUGAACGCUGGCGGCGUGCCUUAUACAUGCAAGUCGAGUGGGUUUAGACCCACGGCACACGGGUGAGUAACACGUAGGUACUUUCCUUGUCACAGGAAUAACCCUCCGAAAGGAGGGCUAAUACCUGAUGUGAUCGCAAGAUUAAAGGGUAUCCGCAAGGAUUACCGGACAAGAAGAGGCCUGCGGCCUAUCAGCUAGUUGGCGGGGUAAAUGCCCACCAAGGCUAUGACGGGUAGCUGGUCUUAUGAGAAUGAUCAGUCUCAUGGGCACUGAGACACGGGCCCAACUCCUACGGGAGGCAGCAGUAGGGAAUUUUGCGCAAUGGGCGAAAGCCUGACGCAGCGACGCCGCGUGCGGGAUGAAGGCCUUCGGGUCGUAAACCGCUUUUAUAAGGGACGAACUUUGACGGUACCUUAUGAAUAAGAGGUUGCUAACUCUGUG